ACUAGCAGUAAGAGUUUGAUCCUGGCUCAGGACGAACGCUGGCGGCGUGCCUAACACAUGCAAGUCGAACGGGACCGGGGGCAACUCCGGGUUCAGUGGCGGACGGGUGCGUAACACGUGAGGAACAUGACUUCGGUGGGGGAUAGCCGGCCCAACGGCCGGGUAAUACCGCGUACGACCAUUCGGGGACAUCCCCGGCUGGUGAAAGCAGCAAUGCGCCGAAAGAGUGCCUCGCGGCCUAUCAGCUAGUUGGUGGGGUAAUGGCUCACCAAGGCGACGACGGGUAGCUGGUCUGAGAGGAUGGCCAGCCACAUUGGGACUGAGACACGGCCCAGACUCCUACGGGAGGCAGCAGUGGGGAAUCUUGCGCAAUGGGCGAAAGCCUGACGCAGCGACGCCGCGUGCGGGAUGAAGGCCUUCGGGUCGUAAACCGCUGUCGGGAGGGACGAAGCUCUGACGGUACCUCCAAAGGAAGCACCGGCUAACUCCGUGCCAGCCGCCGCGGUAAUAC
rnacentral:rRNA from 1 species